UACAGAGGUCUCAAGCGUUGUUCGGAUUCAUUGGGCGUAAAGGGUGCGUAGGCGGCGCGGUAAGUCGGGUGUGAAAUCUCGGAGCUUAACUCCGAAACUGCAUUCGAUACUGCCGUGCUUGAGGACUGGAGAAGAGACUGGAAUUUACGGUGUAGCGGUGAAAUGCGUAGAUAUCGUAAGGAAGACCAGUGGCGAAGGCGGGUCUCUGGACAGUUCCUGACACUGAGGCACGAAGGCCAGGGGAGCAAACGGG
rnacentral:rRNA from 1 species